rnacentral:tRNA from 1 species
GCGGGUAUAGUUUAGUGGUAAAACCUUAG